CCGAGGAAAAGAAAUCAACCGAGAUUCCCCCAGUAGCGGCGAGCGAACGGGGAGGAGCCCAGAGCCUGAAUCAGCAUGUGUGUUAGUGGAAGCGUCUGGAAAGGCGCGCGAUACAGGGUGACAGCCCCGUACACAAAAGCGCAUGUGCUGUGAGCUCGAUGAGUAGGGCGGGACACGUGGUAUCCUGUCUGAAUAUGGGGGGACCAUCCUCCAAGGCUAAAUACUCCUGACUGACCGAUAGUGAACCAGUACCGUGAGGGAAAGGCGAAAAGAACCCCGGCGAGGGGAGUGAAAAAGAACCUGAAACCGUGUACGUACAAGCAGUGGGAGCACAGGUUUACCUGUGUGACUGCGUACCUUUUGUAUAAUGGGUCAGCGACUUAUAUUCUGUAGCAAGGUUAACCGAAUAGGGGAGCCGGAGGGAAACCGAGUCUUAAUUGGGCGUUAAGUUGCAGGGUAUAGACCCGAAACCCGGUGAUCUAGCCAUGGGCAGGUUGAAGGUUGGGUAACACUAACUGGAGGACCGAACCGACUAAUGUUGAAAAAUUAGCGGAUGACCUGUGGCUGGGGGUGAAAGGCCAAUCAAACCGGGAGAUAGCUGGUUCUCCCCGAAAGCUAUUUAGGUAGCGCCUCGUGAAUUCAUCUCCGGGGGUAGAGCACUGUUUCGGCUAGGGGGCCAUCCCGGCUUACCAACCCGAUGCAAACUGCGAAUACCGGAGAAUGUUAUCACGGGAGACACACGGCGGGUGCUAACGUCCGUCGUGAAGAGGGAAACAACCCAGACCGCCAGCUAAGGUCCCAAAGUCAUGGUUAAGUGGGAAACGAUGUGGGAAGGCCCAGACAGCCAGGAUGUUGGCUUAGAAGCAGCCAUCAUUUAAAGAAAGCGUAAUAGCUCACUGGUCGAGUCGGCCUGCGCGGAAGAUGUAACGGGGCUAAACCAUGCACCGAAGCUGCGGCAGCGACGCUUAUGCGUUGUUGGGUAGGGGAGCGUUCUGUAAGCCUGUGAAGGUGGCCUGUGAGGGUUGCUGGAGGUAUCAGAAGUGCGAAUGCUGACAUAAGUAACGAUAAAGCGGGUGAAAAGCCCGCUCGCCGGAAGACCAAGGGUUCCUGUCCAACGUUAAUCGGGGCAGGGUGAGUCGACCCCUAAGGCGAGGCCGAAAGGCGUAGUCGAUGGGAAACGGGUUAAUAUUCCCGUACUUGGUGUUACUGCGAAGGGGGGACGGAGAAGGCU
rnacentral:rRNA from 1 species